rnacentral:rRNA from 1 species
CUACAGAGGGCUCGAGCGUUGAUCGGAAUCAUUGGGCUUAAAGGGUACGUAGGCGGGCUUGAAAGUAUCUUGUGAAAUCCCACGGCUCAACCGUGGAACUGCGAGGUAAACUUCAAGUCUUGAGAUCGGUAGAGGUUGUCGGAACAAUAGGUGGAGCGGUGAAAUGCGUAGAUAUCUAUUGGAACGCCAAAGGAGAAGUCAGACAACUGGGCCGAAUCUGACGCUGAGGUACGAAAGCGUGGGUAGCGAACGGGAUUAGAUACCCUAGUAGUCC